UACGUAGGGUGCAAGCGUUGUCCGGAAUUAUUGGGCGUAAAGAGCUCGUAGGCGGUCUGUCGCGUCGGCUGUGAAAUCCCGAGGCUCAACCUCGGGUCUGCAGUCGAUACGGGCAAACUUGAGUGUUGCAGGGGAGACUGGAAUUCCUGGUGUAGCGGUGAAAUGCGCAGAUAUCAGGAAGAACACCGGUGGCGAAGGCGGCUCUCUGGGCCUUACCUGACGCUGAGGAGCGAAAGCGUGGGUAGCGAACAGG
rnacentral:rRNA from 1 species